rnacentral:rRNA from 1 species
CUACGGGAUGCACCAGUGAGGAAUAUUGGUCAAUGGGCGCAAGCCUGAACCAGCCAUGCCGCGUGAAGGAUGACGGCCCUAUGGGUUGUAAACUUCUUUUAUACGGGAAGAAACGCCUCUACGUGUAGAGGUUUGACGGUACCGUACGAAUAAGCAUCGGCUAACUCCGUGCCAGCAGCCGCGGUAAUACGGAGGAUGCAAGCGUUAUCCGGAUUUAUUGGGUUUAAAGGGUACGUAGGCGGAAGAUUAAGUCAGUAGUGAAAUCCUGCAGCUUAACUGUAGAACUGUUAUUGAUACUGGUUUUCUUGAAUGUAGUUGAGGUAGGCGGAAUAAGUAAUGUAGCGGUGAAAUGCUUAGAUAUUACUUAGAACACCGAUUGCGAAGGCAGCUUACUAAGCUAUGAUUGACGCUGAGGUACGAAAGCGUGGGGAGCGAACAGGAUUAGAUACCCCAGUAGUC